UCGUUGAUUAGCUCGGUUGGUUAGAGCAUGGCGCUGAUAAUGCCAAGGUUGCAGGUUCAAGCUCUUCCAACUCUACAAU